ACCUGGCUGGCUCAGUUGGUAGAGCAUGAAACUUGAUCUCAGGGUCAUGAGUUUGAGCCCCACAUUGGGGG
rnacentral:tRNA from 1 species